CUUUUUUUUUUUUUUUUUUUAAGAGUUUACUAGCAUAUGUAAAACUUGACAAAGCUAAAUUAGAACCAACAAAGUACUACUCUUGAUGAUGCAGACAACUAAUUGUUCGGUUUCAAAAACAUGAAUGAUGAGGAAAAUAUCAAACCUGUAAGAGGGUGGAUUUUUAGGCCAAAACCUAUAGUUAAUGGCAGAAGGAGGCCAUAUUAUAUGGAACAAGUGAUCAACCCAUCCUUUCUUGCCCUCAACUUCUUUCUGCAACCUUGUUCCAUAACCCUCAAUAUUCUGAGAGCCUGGAAUCUUAGCAACCAGUUCUUUUUCCUCUAGUGGAAGCUCAAAGAACUCCUUCCCAACUUGCUGCAGUUUCCUCAUAACCUCCUCUGGGAUGCCAUGGUUGACAACUUGGAAGAUCCCCCAUUCUCUGCUAGCCUCAGAAAUCAACCCCACAAUUUUGCCUUCAUCAGGAUCGCUCAGAUCAAUCACCGGAACCUCAAGAACCGCCCCAUGGAAGGUUGUUACUGCAGGUUGCUCAUUUUCUGAUCUGAUGUAAUCUGUUGGAAUAGUAUCCAUGCAUUUGGAUAGCGAAGCAAUUUGUUGCACUCUUUCCAGCUCCAUUUCUUUUUUUUUUUUUCCUCCCUCACUCUCCAACAGAAAAACUUUUGAUGAUUUUCUUUCUUUGCUUCUUUAUUUUAUGCUAGAGUCUUGCCUCUUUGCAGCAUAUAUAAAGGGAGGCAAGACAAAAGCUGGAACCAAAUUCAUCAACACCAGCAAUAAUAUGCAUUGUGGAUGUCAUUAAUUUUCUUUGAAAAGAUAAAAAAGGGGUUACGUGGGUGAGUCUUGUUCAUUUGAUAGAUCAUGCCAAACCUCAACAGCAUGCACCGCUAUAGUAGCCUACAUCUUGCAUCAUACGAAGAAUAUGUUGAUAGGAUAGUUGGGUUAAAAUUCUCUGCGUCUAUAAAUUACUAUUGAUGGCUCAGAUGAAGUUGAUUUGAAAUCGAACAAAUUAUAUUGGUUACGUAAUACAACAAUUAAUUAUGGGCAAAAUUCUUAGUGUUUUUCUACCUUUUUUAUUUUAGUGUGACUACAUUUAUUAUUAUAGUACUUAUUUCUAUUGUUUUAAUGCAUACAUUAUGUUGUUCAAUUGAAUGCGACAGUUAGAGAACAUUGGAUCCAGGAUGGUUGGUGGCUUGGUACCUAAACUUAUUGAUGCAUAGCACAUGACCACAUGAGUUGAGUGUGCAAGUUAAAUAAAAUUACAAUUUGUAAACAUGACUUUUUAUAAUAACAACCUAAAGAUCAAUUUGAGUAAGGAUUUAUCGUUUUCUUUUCUAUUUUCUGUUUAUAAAACCUGUUAAGCAUUUGAAGCCUCGUAGUUUUCGAACUCCUCCUCAACUCCAUAAAUUUGUGAAAAAGUUUUGAACCAAUAUAUUACAUCCUACUGAAUGUAUAAGAAUUGUCAUCACUGUUAAAAAAAAUUUUUAGAAAAGUGCAGAAUUGGUUGAAUACAUUCGAAUUAUAUGAUGAUACACAAAUAUAAUCACCAUUUUGCCAUGCAUAUCACCUCACGAGUCUUGUACUACUCUCUGUCCCACUUUUUACUAUAUUGUUAUUUCUCCUUUAUAAACAUCAUAUUUUAGUUCUUUUUUGUUUCCUUAAGAUCCAAUAACUAUUACUUAAGUAAUACACAAAUACAACAAUCUCAUAAAAGCAAUAUAUAAUAGAAAAUUAAAAUGUACAACAAAAAAUUCAUAAAAAAUCUCAUUUUUUAUGCAUUUUGGCUUUUUGAGUUGUUACGUUUCGUGUAUUCUUCAAUCAAUAGUUAUUGGAUCUUAAUGAAACAAAAAAGAAUUAAAAUAUGAUGUUUAAAAAUAAGAAAUAGUAAUAUAAUAAAGUGGCAUAGAAAAUGACACACGAAAUGAGAUAGAAGAUCCGUUGCAGAGAUUUACCAUCAAAAUUAGAGAUGCUUUCAGAAACCUUCCUUGAGGUUUAUAACAAUUUCAUUUGACUCUCCUGAUGUUUCAAAUAUUACACAUACCACCUUUAUUUUGAGUUUUAAUGUAACAGUCAACCCAUGUCCAUAAACAAUUAUAUAAAAUGCUAAAAAAUACUUUCAUUCCCGAACCACAAGUCAUGACUCAUAAAGAUGGAUACAAGAAAUUCAAUUAAAAAAAAGUAUAAUCCAUUGAAAAAGUUAACGAAAUUUAUCUUGAAGAGUUACUCAUGUUAUGUUGUACUGAGUUAGAUACAUUUUAACUAAAUCAUUGGAAGAGUUAUUAUCGAAACCUUGACACUUGAAAAUACUUAGGUGUCACAAGAAUUUGAAAUUACAAAUUCAACUUUUAAAGGGUUUGAAAUUGUAGAAGAGAAAAUGAAUUGAUGUAUUCCCUAUUAGUAAUAAUAAACUAGACCAUAUUAUCGCAUUUUUCACAUUAUUAAAUUUAACAACAUCUAAAAAUUAAUAUCUUAAUUUGAUGAGAGAUAUUUGUUAUUUUUCUUGACUAUUUUUUUGCAUGAAAAUUUAGAUAUUUAAUUCCCUCAAUGAUUCUUUUAUGAUUUUAGCUUGAAAUAAUUUUGUCAGAUCAAUUCAGUUCCUUUGAUUGCACUUUUGUAGUCAAUCUUCCUUUAGUUUAAUCUAUUAUGUUAGCAUGCACGGGUAGUUUGAGGGAAAAAAAUGCUUUUCAACAAUUAAUAUUAUUUUUUUAGAUAUAUGGACUGACUUUGUUACAUAGAAAUUCAAAAUAGGGGAAGUAAGUGUAAUAUUUGAAACCACAUUGGAGCCAAGUGAAAUGGUCAAAAACCUCGAGAGAGGUUUCUAAAAUUAUUGCUACAAAUUAACUUCAGCAAAUACAUAUGUUAUCAUCGCAAAUAAGGGAUUAAUCUUUUAUAUAUUAAUAGUUUAUACACUAUCAAGUUUGAAUACAUGACUACUAAUUUUAAUUUAAAUUUGAAUUCUAAAUUUUAAACGUAUGGUAUACAUCUAAAUCCAAUAAUAUAUAUACUAUUAGUGCAUAUACGAUUAAUGCAGUUUUUUCUACUUACCAAAGUAGGCAUAAGAGUACCAAACGCUUUCCUCACUCGAGAUUCUGUUUUUCAUCAUGGUUUGCUGCAUUUUAUACAGAGCAAAAGCAAAAAAGAUGGAGAAAUUCACGAGGAAGCAUUUUAACUUCUUCAUAUGCAAUUCAAACCCAAUGCGAAAAUUUUGAAGUCAAAAAUAGACCACAGAAAAUCACAAGGUGUAUAGCGCUUUUGUCAAUUUAUGUCUUUAUUAUGCAGGAUAGUUUCAGGAACUUCCCUUGAAGUUUUUUGACAAUAUUAUUGAGCUUUCUUGAACUUUCAAAAAUUUCACUUACCUCCUUUAAUUCCAAUUUUGUUGUUCCAAAUUAGCCUAUGUUACGAAAAGUAAUAUUCAAAAAUGAAUUUGAGGAGAGAAAGGAGAAAUUCAUGCCAAAAUACCCUUUUGUAGUCUUAUUUAUUAAUUUAUUACCAAAAAAUUUCUCUCAAGUAGGCACUUUAUAAUUUUACACAAGUAUUUUAAUAGGCACUUUAUACCCUUCGUCAAAUAAAAAAUGAUGCAAAAUUAACUCCAUCCACGUAAUUGAUGAAAGGACUAAUUUAUCCUCUAUUAAAAGCUUAAGUGGCAAAAAUUUCCUUUCAAUGGGAAAAAAAUUUUCACUUUCAAGAGACUAAUUUUCGCUUUAUAAUAACAGUCCAAUUAAAAACACAUAAAAAUGAAAUGCUGGGCCACUUUCAAUGACAACUAAAACAAAAGAAGUGGAAGAAGCAAAAAAAAAGAAGGAAGAGAGGGAAUCAAUCAGUUUCAAGAAUGUCAGCAAUACAAUUCCACUACAGAUUUUAAGUCAGCCCAAGUCGGGAGAGGGCAAUGUAAAAUCCUGUUUAUUCCUCUAAUUCCUAGUUGUACUUUAGUUUUCUUGUUGCAUGCAUAUAACUAAGUGGAAAAUUUACUGUAUUUUGUCGAAACUUCUAAGUCCAAUAUUUUGUUUACUAAUAUGUGGGUUUCAAUUUAGCUUUGAUUUUUUUUUUUCCAAUUCAGGUUUGAUAUUGAACCUUUGCGGCUAUUAUUGUCUAAAUUCUUAUAAAAAAUUUUGGUUCUAAUCCAUUUAAAUUCUCGUGAAGAUUUCAAGUAAAAUUUUGCCUAGUAUAUGAAGCUCUGGGUUAUGAUGAUGAGAUUUUAGAAAUUGCAAGAGUAGCGUGUCAACAAUUUAAUUUUCAUAUUUUACCCUUUAUGUUUGAACCCCAACAACCUUAAUUACCAUCUAAAAUGACCACGUAUUUUAAAUUUAUUUGUUUUCAAUUAGACUUUUAUUAUAAAGUGAAACUUAGUCUAUUUAAAGUGGCAAUUUUUUCCCACCAAAAUGGUAUUUUUGCUACUUAGGAUUUAAAUAGAGGAUAGGUCGGUCAUUUCAUCAAUUAUUUAGAUGGCAUCAAUUUUUUUCAUUAUUUUUUAGUUGACCAAGAGUAUAAAGUACCUAUUAAAAUAGUUUAGAGUGUAAAAUACAACUGCAGUAAUAGUUCGUGGGUUUUCUGCAUUUAGUUGGACACUGGUUGUAUGUGUUUCACAUGAUUAAAUAAGCAAAAUGAUACCUUUUUCAAGACACUCAUAUUCAACUAAUAUGUUUGGUGCUAAAUGUUUUAACUUGUACUAUGCAUAGCCAUCCAACCUCUAAAGCCAUGGAGUUUUGAAGUGCAUGAAACUCAACCAAAGAAAGGAAGACUUUUUUUUUUUUUUCGGGAUUUCCUUUUGUGAAUUAAAGAGAGAUACUUGGCAAAUGCUACGUCUUUUCUUUUCUUUAUUUUGCUAUUGAUUUAUUAAAUAGGUAGGUAGCCUCAGCCCUCAGCCGUUGGGUAAUGGGAAGCUUAAGGAUAAAUUUCUUCAGAUGUCCCCAAAAGGUACUUGUAUAAAGGUUCUUUACCUUACCGUCCUUCAACUUCAAUAAAUUCUUAUCAAGUCCUCGAGUCGUUUUAAAUCAGUCAGUCCAGUACUCUAGUCCCUUCAAAAGUUCGUGAAAUCAUAUUUAUUUGAGUUUUGUUAUUUUAUCCUCAAUCCUUCUCCUAUUUUUUAAUGUUAAUAGAUAAAUUUUUUAUACCUUGUUAGUAUAUAAUUUUUUUACACUAGUAUGUUCAAAUCAUGCCACCUACAAAUUGAAAUUUAAAAGGAAAAAUCGUUCAAAACGUCUUUCGCAUUAAAUAUACACGACAGUAUAUAUAAAGUUUAUUCUUUUGUAAAAUGAAUUUUUUUUUUAUUUUUAAAAACGUAAUUUUGCGUUCCUUACAAAUUUACAUUAGUCAAAUUUGAUCCCUAUCUAAAUUUUCUACUAAUUUUUUGUCAAAACCCACCACGUGUGUUGUAUGAUAUUAUUUUUGAUGGACAAAAUUAUCAAAUCACAUUUUUGAGUAGCUAGUGUAAAUAAAUUACACCGUCAAUGCAUAAAAUAUUAAUCUUUUUUAAUCACCCUAGUAUACUUUUUAACUGUCUUUAGCGUAAUACAACACACACACAAAAGAUCAUACGACUUAAAUAUCUUUUUUGUGAUAACCACCUUGAUGGUACUUUAUAAACGGUUAUACACGAAGCAAACUUUCUGAGAUCUAUUCAUACUUUUUGCCCUCGGUUAAGCUUGUUAAUUGUGCACUUCAUUGAUUAUUCGAAAUGACACCUGGCCACCCAAGAAGUCUGUCAAAAUCGUUUGUUGUAUUGGAUGCUCCAGUACACCCAACACUGCUAUGUUGCUGAAAUUGCAAUGGCAGAACCUGAUAAUACCCCCAGGGAAUAAUUUUUCCUCACGUUACUACUACCACACAAGUAGGAGUGAUCAAACCACGUAAAAGCCUAGAUGAUGAACAUAAAUAGGAUUGCAACCUAUUUCCACACAGGAGAUCAAUCAGAUAGAUGAUGUAGCAGACUGAAUACUAGCAAUUAGAUAGAUGAUGUAGCCAGAAAAAGAGAAUCCUAAAAUACGUAGGCAUUAAAUGUGCAGACCUAGCAUAGACAGAACCAACUCAAGAGAUCACAUUAACAAACAGCUCAAACUGAGACAUUAUUUGGACACACAAGACUUUGAGCCCAUGUUAAGGUUCAAAAAAUCUCCAUUACACAUUAAAGCCUCAAAUCUUCCAGAUAACAGAUGUACAUUUUAACUUUCAUACGCACCAGAGGAAUUCCAACUAUAAGCACAACAUUAACGUUUUACGUUUAAUUUGCAAAAUAUGCUCUUUGAUA
rnacentral:lncRNA from 1 species